CUAGCCGUAAACGAUGGACACUAGGUGUCGGGAGUGUCGACUCUCCCGGUGCCGAAGCUAACGCAUUAAGUGUCCCGCCUGGGGAGUACGGCCGCAAGGUUAAAACUCAAAGGAAUUGACGGGGGCCCGCACAAGCAGCGGAGCAUGUGGUUUAAUUCGACGCAACGCGAAGAACCUUACCAGGGUUUGACAUGUACGUGGUAGGAAUCUGAAAGGUGACCGACCCUUCGGGGAGCGUACACAGGUGG
rnacentral:rRNA from 1 species